rnacentral:rRNA from 1 species
UUAAGCGACUAAGCGUACACGGUGGAUGCCCUGGCAGUCAGAGGCGAUGAAGGGCGUGCUAAUCUGCGAUAAGCGCCGGUAAGGUGAUAUGAACCGUUAUAACCGGCGAUACCCGAAUGGGGAAACCCAGUGUGAUUCAUCACACUAUCAUUAACUGAAUCCAUAGGUUAAUGAGGCGAACCGGGGGAACUGAAACAUCUAAGUACCCCGAGGAAAAGAAAUCAACCGAGAUUCCCCCAGUAGCGGCGAGCGAACGGGGAGGAGCCCAGAGCCUGAAUCAGCAUGUGUGUUAGUGGAAGCGUCUGGAAAGGCGCGCGAUACAGGGUGAGAGCCCCGUACACAAAAGCGCAUAUGCUGUGAGCUCGAUGAGUAGGGCGGGACACGUGGUAUCCUGUCUGAAUAUGGGGGGACCAUCCUCCAAGGCUAAAUACUCCUGACUGACCGAUAGUGAACCAGUACCGUGAGGGAAAGGCGAAAAGAACCCCGGCGAGGGGAGUGAAACAGAACCUGAAACCGUGUACGUACAAGCAGUGGGAGCCUCUCUUUAUGGGGGGUGACUGCGUACCUUUUGUAUAAUGGGUCAGCGACUUAUAUUCUGUAGCAAGGUUAACCGCAUAGGGGAGCCGAAGGGAAACCGAGUCUUAAUUGGGCGUUAAGUUGCAGGGUAUAGACCCGAAACCCGGUGAUCUAGCCAUGGGCAGGUUGAAGGUUGGGUAACACUAACUGGAGGACCGAACCGACUAAUGUUGAAAAAUUAGCGGAUGACCUGUGGCUGGGGGUGAAAGGCCAAUCAAACCGGGAGAUAGCUGGUUCUCCCCGAAAGCUAUUUAGGUAGCGCCUCGUGAACUCAUCUCCGGGGGUAGAGCACUGUUUCGGCUAGGGGGCCAUCCCGGCUUACCAACCCGAUGCAAACUGCGAAUACCGGAGAAUGUUAUCACGGGAGACACACGGCGGGUGCUAACGUCCGUCGUGAAGAGGGAAACAACCCAGACCGCCAGCUAAGGUCCCAAAGUCAUGGUUAAGUGGGAAACGAUGUGGGAAGGCCCAGACAGCCAGGAUGUUGGCUUAGAAGCAGCCAUCAUUUAAAGAAAGCGUAAUAGCUCACUGGUCGAGUCGGCCUGCGCGGAAGAUGUAACGGGGCUAAACCAUGCACCGAAGCUGCGGCAGCGACACUUUAGUGUUGUUGGGUAGGGGAGCGUUCUGUAAGCCGUUGAAGGUGUCCUGUGAGGGGUGCUGGAGGUAUCAGAAGUGCGAAUGCUGACAUAAGUAACGAUAAAGCGGGUGAAAAGCCCGCUCGCCGGAAGACCAAGGGUUCCUGUCCAACGUUAAUCGGGGCAGGGUGAGUCGACCCCUAAGGCGAGGCCGAAAGGCGUAGUCGAUGGGAAACGGGUUAAUAUUCCCGUACUUGGUGUUACUGCGAAGGGGGGACGGAGAAGGCUAUGUUGGCCGGGCGACGGUUGUCCCGGUUUAAGCGUGUAGGCUGGUUUUCCAGGCAAAUCCGGAAAAUCAAGGCUGAGGCGUGAUGACGAGGCACUACGGUGCUGAAGCAACAAAUGCCCUGCUUCCAGGAAAAGCCUCUAAGCAUCAGGUAACAUCAAAUCGUACCCCAAACCGACACAGGUGGUCAGGUAGAGAAUACCAAGGCGCUUGAGAGAACUCGGGUGAAGGAACUAGGCAAAAUGGUGCCGUAACUUCGGGAGAAGGCACGCUGACACGUAGGUGAAGUGAUUUACUCAUGGAGCUGAAGUCAGUCGAAGAUACCAGCUGGCUGCAACUGUUUAUUAAAAACACAGCACUGUGCAAACACGAAAGUGGACGUAUACGGUGUGACGCCUGCCCGGUGCCGGAAGGUUAAUUGAUGGGGUCAGCGCAAGCGAAGCUCCUGAUCGAAGCCCCGGUAAACGGCGGCCGUAACUAUAACGGUCCUAAGGUAGCGAAAUUCCUUGUCGGGUAAGUUCCGACCUGCACGAAUGGCGUAAUGAUGGCCAGGCUGUCUCCACCCGAGACUCAGUGAAAUUGAACUCGCUGUGAAGAUGCAGUGUACCCGCGGCAAGACGGAAAGACCCCGUGAACCUUUACUAUAGCUUGACACUGAACAUUGAGCCUUGAUGUGUAGGAUAGGUGGGAGGCUUUGAAGCGUGGACGCCAGUCUGCGUGGAGCCGACCUUGAAAUACCACCCUUUAAUGUUUGAUGUUCUAACGUGGACCCGUAAUCCGGGUUGCGGACAGUGUCUGGUGGGUAGUUUGACUGGGGCGGUCUCCUCCUAAAGAGUAACGGAGGAGCACGAAGGUUGGCUAAUCCUGGUCGGACAUCAGGAGGUUAGUGCAAUGGCAUAAGCCAGCUUGACUGCGAGCGUGACGGCGCGAGCAGGUGCGAAAGCAGGUCAUAGUGAUCCGGUGGUUCUGAAUGGAAGGGCCAUCGCUCAACGGAUAAAAGGUACUCCGGGGAUAACAGGCUGAUACCGCCCAAGAGUUCAUAUCGACGGCGGUGUUUGGCACCUCGAUGUCGGCUCAUCACAUCCUGGGGCUGAAGUAGGUCCCAAGGGUAUGGCUGUUCGCCAUUUAAAGUGGUACGCGAGCUGGGUUUAGAACGUCGUGAGACAGUUCGGUCCCUAUCUGCCGUGGGCGCUGGAAGACUGAGGGGGGCUGCUCCUAGUACGAGAGGACCGGAGUGGACGCAUCACUGGUGUUCGGGUUGUCAUGCCAAUGGCACUGCCCGGUAGCUAAAUGCGGAAAAGAUAAGUGCUGAAAGCAUCUAAGCACGAAACUUGCCCCGAGAUGAGUCUUCCCUGAGACCUUGAGUCUCCUGAAGGAACGUUAAAGACGAUGACGUUGAUAGGCCGGGUGUGUAAGCGCAGCGAUGCGUUGAGCUAACCGGUACUAAUGAACCGUGAGGCUUAACCUU